GAAUGAAGAAAGCAUGGUAAUGUGUACAUAUAUUGAUUUGGAUCUCUAAACCUGCUCUCUCUGAUGCCUUUCGGCUAUGAUUUGAGGGCAUGGUUCCACAGCAAAACA